AGUGAACGCUGGCGGUAGGCCUAACACAUGCAAGUCGAACGGCAGCACAGUAAGAGCUUGCUCUUACGGGUGGCGAGUGGCGGACGGGUGAGGAAUACAUCGGAAUCUACUUUUUCGUGGGGGAUAACGUAGGGAAACUUACGCUAAUACCGCAUACGACCUACGGGUGAAAGCAGGGGAUCUUCGGACCUUGCGCGAUUGAAUGAGCCGAUGUCGGAUUAGCUAGUUGGCGGGGUAAAGGCCCACCAAGGCGACGAUCCGUAGCUGGUCUGAGAGGAUGAUCGGCCACACUGGAACUGAGACACGGUCCAGACUCCUACGGGAGGCAGCAGUGGGGAAUAUUCGACAAUGGGCGAAAGCCUGAUCCAGCCAUGCCGCGUGGGUGAAGAAGGCCUUCGGGUUGUAAAGCCCUGUUGUUGGGAAAGAACAGCAGCAGGUUAAUACACGGCUGUUUUGACGGUACCUAAAGAAUAAGCACCGGCUAACUUCGUG
rnacentral:rRNA from 1 species